rnacentral:rRNA from 1 species
GUUGCUCGAGUGGCGAACGGGUGAGUAACACGUGAGUAACCUGCCCUUGACUUUGGGAUAACUUCAGGAAACUGGGGCUAAUACCGGAUAGGAGCUCCUGCUGCAUGGUGGGGGUUGGAAAGUUUCGGCGGUUGGGGAUGGACUCGCGGCUUAUCAGCUUGUUGGUGGGGUAGUGGCUUACCAAGGCUUUGACGGGUAGCCGGCCUGAGAGGGUGACCGGCCACAUUGGGACUGAGAUACGGCCCAG